ACUUAAUCAUUUAUCAGGUGAUUUCUAUGCUUUAGGUGGCUGUUGAGGAGACUGCUCAUCGACAUUGUUAGUGCUUUACGCUCCUUCUUCGAUCUUUGAGUGAUAGAUUGAUCCAUCCUUCUAUUGUUUUACAAGCUGCUUCUGGAUUUAUAAUCUAGUGGAUUGGUUGUAGCAUCUUUUCUCGCGGAAUGAUCUCUUUGAUCAAGGAGGAUGUCUAAGACAUGUGUCCUUGAUCAUCUUCAGGACUGGUGAAGAAGAACUGAAUUUUCAAUAAACUCCUGCUAUGUAGGCACUUGGGGGGGGUGGGGGUGUACAGAACCUUUGUUGGAACUUAUUCAUUUAUCAGGUGAUUUCUAUGCUUUAGGUGGCUGUUGAGGAGACUGCUCAUCGACAUUGUUAGUGCUUUACGCUCCUUCUUCGAUCUUUGAGUGAUAGAUUGAUCCAUCCUUCUAUUGUUUUACAAGCUGCUUCUGGAUUUAUAAUCUAGUGGAUUGGUUGUAGCAUCUUUUCUCACGGAAUGAUCUCUUUGAUCAAGGAGGAUGUCUAAGACAUGGUACAUAUAAUGACGAUGGUCAAUUAUUACAUAGAAUAACUGAGCUUUUCUUGAGUUCAACGAUCUAUUUACAUCUAUCUUUGGUUGGUUGGUGGAUUGGCAGUGUCCUUGAUCAUCUUCAGGACUGGUGAAGAACUGAAUUUUCAAUAAACUCCUGCUAUGUAGGCACUUGGGUUUUUGUUGAAUCUCCUUCCUCCAUUGAUUCCCUUGGAGUGGAAAGAUGAUAAUUAUCUUUGUCCUAAUUCCUUUAUAAGUUGGUGUUUUGCCAGAUUUUAGAAGUGGUGAUCUAUCACCUUUUCUGUGUGGCCAGGUCAAUGAACUGCGGAGUUCAGACUUUGUUUGAAAUUUGGAUAAGCUCCCACUUCUUUGAUUUUGGUUCUUUUGAUGUCCUCACUGUCAAUGUGUAUAUGGAUCAACCCUAAUCAAUUGAGUGCUUUUAUGAUAGGGAGUGCAAGAACUAGCUUGACUGUGCUUCGAGGGUUUGUGGUUCGACUUGAUAUCUCUGGUCGCCAUUGGAUGGCCUCUCUGUUGGACGUACUUGAAUGAAGAGAGUACUAAAUCUCCUUAGUUGGAAUAAGAUAUCUGUGUGGGUUUGCUUAGCCUAUAUUUUCCACUGCUGCAAUACUUUCUUCUGUUACAGUCUCUUGUUUUUAUCCAUCACAAAGCUGUGUUGUUACGUGUGUACUGUCAGCGGCAACAUAGCUGGUCAGGCUGGGAGGAUCAGACACUAGCUGCUUGGUUGGCAUGUUUGUCAAAUUUUGGUAGUUUUUUUUAGAUGGGUGAAACUGAAGGGGCAUACAACAAUCCUGCAGUGAAUGAGGCUCUGAUUUGAGGUUCUAACAUUUCUGGUGAGCACAGAAUUCAGUCUACUUCCCCUUCCAAUUACUUAUGAUACCCUAAUGGACGGUAGGCGAACUUCUACUUCGUAUGUGUAAUCUAAUUUAAGCAUCAAGCAUAGCUGUUGAAGUUCUUUAGGUCUAUGAAUUUAUAGAUCUCCAAUUGCAUCAUGAUCCUUUACCAAUGGUGAUCUGUCGUCCAGAUUAAUUCAUGGUUCUAGUGACUCUGCAAGGAUUGUUUGGAGCCAUCUUCCUUCUAAUUGGAAAUAUCAAACUUUUGCCUUAUGAUCAGUUUCAUUUGCUUUGGUAUUUGCUUUGAAGGCAUGAUUUUUGAAGCAUCUAGCUGGGUCUAUUUCCAGAACAAAGCUGGUGAAGGCUUUAAUUUUAUACAGAAAGGUUUAUCAACGUUAUUAAGUUUCGAGUCUCCCUCUGAUUAUAUCCGCUAAUCUAGUGGCUUCCAUACUAUACGGAUUUUUUCAGUUGUUAGUGGGUGCUUGUUCCAGUUUAGAGAGAUCUCAGUAUGGACCAUGUGAGGAUGCUAAUUGAUCAAGCUGUUAGAGAAUCCAAGUUCUUGAGCUGGGGAAGGCAGGAGGUAAUUAUCUAACGCAAUUAUGUUUUUCGUUGUGGAUCAGGGUGAUGUGUGAUGUCUAUAGGGAUUAUUUGUAGCGGCAUGAACUCUGCAAAGAUCCGGCUUAUGAUAUUUUCAUUUCACAGAUUAGAGGAGAUGCGAUGGACAUCUAGUUCUCUUCCUGUUGUAGGUAGGAGUCCUUUUUUUUUUUUGGCAGAUUAUGCUGAAUUUGACCUGGUUUGUGUUGAAGUGUAUUGACCCGUUUUAACUAACUUAUAGUGAAAUGACUUGACUUAGCAAGCUUUUACUUUUUGCUUCUUCUGGGGACAUUUUUGGUAUAAAUGAUUUAUUUUGGGGGCCAGUUCAAGUUUCUGUCUUUGAUGUCUUGCUCUCAUCUUCAUCUUUGAAAGUGACUGGAUAAAACUACAAUUACUACUAUUGAGUCUUGUGUCCCAGGCUAAGUCUACUUGUUGCUUCUUCUGGAGGUAUUUUAGGUAUAUUGGUAUAUUUUGGGUGCCAGUUUAUGUCUUUCUCUUCGAUGAUGUCAUGCCCUCGUCUUUUUAUGUCAACUUCACUGGAUAAAAGUACGAUAGAGUCCUGUUUCAAGGCUAAGUCUAGUUGUUUCUUGCUUGGUCAUUUGGUGGCACACAUUGAUGGCUACUUGACUAAUGGAGUAGUGACUGAGUCCUGACUGUUGCAUUUCUUAUCAAAUGCUUCUGCCUUAUACUUGUGAGAUGGGAAACUGGUUGCCGAUAUUCACUAACAUCAUGGCAGAUUAUCCCUUUCUUCUUUCAAUUGGUUUGGUGCAGUCCAUAGAAGCUCUGUCCUCGGGAUGCUCUUUAUAUUGAAUCUCCCAGUUGAACAACUUAGUUUUAUAAUGCUUGUGUGUUGAAAUCAAGAGUUACUUGGUCACGAGUUCACUUGAUCCCUCUACAUGGAUUCACGCCUCAUUCUCUUCGAAACUCGUAUUCUAUUAUGAUCGUUUUCUGCAGAAGCUGGCUUUAGUUUUUGUACCUGCAAAACUAUAUCCGCAAAGAUGCUUGUAAUCUGCUGGUGGGGGUGCGUGGAGUGGAUGGUUUGGUUGUUUUUGCCAUCUUUAGUGCUCGCACUUUGAAUGAGAUGGUGCAGUGGACAUGUUGGUUUAGGUGUGUGUUGUAUGAGCCAAGAAAAAUUGAGUGUUUUGAUGACCUCGCAAAGAAUUGCGCCUUCCUGCAGGAUGUAUGGAGCUUGUAAAACUCUGCUCAUAUUUUUGGACAUAUUUCUGUCUAUUGUCAGUUGCUCACUUUGUUGAGCAAAUUGUGCAGCUUUGUAUCUUCUCACAAGUAAGACGUUCGUGGUUCGCAAGAAUCAAGCAUAAUUGUGCAGAGAGCACUUGUUAUCAUUUUGGUCUGGGCGUGAUGUGCUAACUCUUGGAAGUGAUGUCCUUGGCUAAUAACCUGUAUUUUAUGGACUUCAAAUUCUUGAGAUUUGCCAAAUGAGAGGUGGCGAUUUUCUUGUGACUAGUCUUGAUUUUCGUUUGUGGCAUCUAAUUGUGGGGGUUCAUGGUCAAGUUUCCUAAUUGGAGAUAUUUUUAGUGUUUGCUGACUAGUAAUCAUGGGAAUUAUGGAAUUAGCAUCUCUUCCUCUCUCUUUUGGAAGUUCGCUUUUACAAACUAUCUGGCUGACAUGGGCACUUUGCCAAUUAAAUGUCUUUUCACUUUUUUCCGAUAUGAAUGUUUUGUAAUGGCUAUUGGAGCCUUACAAAAGUCGAGGAUUCCUGUGGCUGCUGGGAUGUUUCCUGGCAGAUUUGAGGUCUCAUCUUUUUUACCCUGGAUAGCAUCUUUGUAGCUCCUCUCAGUGCAGUAUUCCAGUUGAAGUGUUGGGAAUAGUCUUAUUAUCAGAAGAAACAAACUGAUUUCAUCAUUUGUUGAUGCCAAUGCUCUGUUGCACGCAUUCUCAAUUUCAGCUGGUUUAUCUUUGGAUUCAGUCAGGCACAGAAAUUGACCAUACCAGCACUGGUCGGUUUAUUCUUCUUUCCUCAAGUAAAACGACUUUGAUAUUACAACUAAGCUAUGCUGCCAUUCACAUUGACUUCACUCUAGCACUAAUCUAUGACAGCUAUCGUAAAGUUGGAAAGUCUAUAAAAUUGAGCUUUAUGAUAAGCCACGGCAAAGCUCCAUUUCAGUGCCUCCUACAGAACAUUAAUUAAUUUGUUGAGAAAUAAUUCAACCAUUAGUUUAUAUUAAUUUAUAAAUUUGCUCCCUAUAUAUUUUUCGAUAUAAUUUUUAGCUACUAAGUUCUUCUGUUGAUAAUUUAAUUGUUGUACACAUAAUCAUUCUCAAUUUAUGAUUAGCCUCUCAUACUGUAUUCAGAAAUGGAUGAAGAAAUUCAAUCAUUUCUUUAUAUAAUGCAAAAGAUUAGAUGAUUCCGCUUGUUGGUAAAACUAAGUUGUCCUAAUGAUAUUCUGUCCAAUUCUAGCUCUUUCUUUGCCAUAGAAACCAGGAAAGAGGAUCCUUGUGCUCCUACUAGGAGAAGGAAAUCCUCAUAAAGAUGUUUUUCCUUUGCCAGAUUAAAUGUAGUUACCUUUUUCCCCUCUCCAAGUUGAUGAAGAGGAAUGCCACUGCAAGCAUUUUGCGUAUAGAUCAAUUUCCCUUUCACUUUUCCCUUACAUUGGUAGUUUAUGAUUGUCGAUUUGUGAGGGUGGGUGGCUUAUUGUUAUUAGCAUGAGUACCUCAGUAAGUUUGGCCACAUUGGCAUUUGGUAUAUUUUUUAUUACCAGGUCUUUUUAUUCAGUUUCCAUGCUUUCUUUUGCCAAUUAAAUCUUUCAGUAUGUUUUUCAGUUGAGAUAAUGGAUUCUUCUGAUUUUCCAUAGUGGGAACUCUUAUCUUGAGAACUUUGCUUUCGAUUCUUAUAUUUACUACUUCCUAUUGCUUUUUGUUAAAAUUUUGCAUAUUGUUUCUUCAGGCAUUUUCAUUAUCGAGUAGCCAUUAUUCCUCUGCCAAAAAACAUUUUCUAUGAGAAUGGAUGUCUCUCGGUGGAUGCCUGCUGUCCAUGUAAGGUUGUUAAGACUACAGCUUUUGGUGCAUGCUGUCCAACAACUUUUUGCUACAAUGAAGAUUGGAUUUGUUGCCAUUUCUUUCAUGCGGAAGCCAUCUUUGGUCCCAGUAUUCUUCGAACCUAAAUUAUUAAAGGUUUGUACAGGUCGCAAACAAAUCAUUAUCACCUAAUAUGAAAUCUCAAAUCCUUGUGUGGACUUUGUUAGUGAAUAAUCCCCUCUGAUGAUGAGGGAGAUGAAUAAAUUGAUAUAAGAACGAGUCGAAUAACUUUGGUUGCUGUGUAAAUGGAUGAUAUUUUAUUUUCUAGUUAGUAAUUCUAUUAUAAUAUUAAGGAUAACAAACUCCUAAGUGCGACCUCAUUUGCAAUUGAAACUAUCGUGUGUAGAAUCCUAGCAUGAAAUAGAAGUGAAAAAUAUCUUAAAUUGAUAGAAGUUGUGAAAUAGAUGAUGAGCUUAUAGUUUGAUACUCGUUUAUAAAUUCAUUAGGUGAUCAGUCAUGGAUUGGUAAGACUUUGUAUAAAUGGAAUGAUUUGAUGAUAUAAUCCAAAGACAAAAAGGGGGCAUAGGGACUUUCAUCAACUUUGGUUGAUGGUGAGGACAAGAGCCCUGUUGGGGAGAAAAGAGGUUCUUGUUAGUGGAGAGCUGCUUAUCUUGGAUAAAAUCGGGUUAAUAGAAAGCCAUCCAAGUUGGAUCGCCUUUUCUUUCUUUGCCAUCAAGUCAUUCAUGUGGUUGAAUUAUCCCAAAAAUGUUGUUCCUACUAAAGGCCAAGUAGUAGAAUAAAUCCCAACCUUCUAAAUGGUGCAUAAUUUCAUCUUGAUAUUUAUAUCUUAUCAUAAAAAGAUCCAACAAUUCAAAUUUAUUAGACUACAUAUUGGCCAUUUUUGUCUAUUAAAAUAUUUUCAAAAUUAUUGGCAUGAAAGAAGAAUGAAAAAGCUCGGGUUGAUUAUCAUCUAGUCCUGAUCCUCUCACAGGUCGGAGUUUUGCUAGACUUGACAAGUGGUGAUCUGUCGGAGCUGAUGAUUGUCUGAAAUUGGAUAAGCUCUAGCCUCUCUCGAGGCAGUUAUCGGUUUGAAUGGAAAUUUGUUCUCCAAUCCCAUAAUUUUCCGAUUAAUGCGAAACCCAAUUCUCAUCAUUCCUUCAGAGGUCAGUGAUUAGUCUAUCUAUGACCUGUGAUGGUUCUUUCUUUGCAAGGUGUACGCGCCACAACAGAUAAUUAUCCAAUCCGGAUCCGCUUGCCAGUGUCUCCUCCCUAGAAAUAGUCCCUCCCUCAUGUCCUCAUCAUUCACUCUCAUCGGGAAACAUCGUUAUGGGAAGUGUCUGGUUUAGCUCCUCCUCUGAUCCUUUAAAGAACCCACUUUCUGUACAAUUGUUUUAUGAUCUGCUUCUAGAUUUUGGUAUUUGGUGAAUUUGCAGUGGUUUCUUUCUCCCUCGGAGUGAACUAUUUUUUUGAGGAUGGCAAGAAUGAAUGAAUACCUUGACAUCGGUCAGUUUGUUUCAUAAAACUAGAUGUUGGCUUUUUGGAGAAUGAUGAUCCUUUUGCUGUCUAUUUUUAGUUGAGAUGAUGAACCAGUAGUCUUUCAGGCUGAAAUUUCCUGGUCUUGAUUGGAACUUGUUCUUCAGUUUUUUUAACUUUGGGAGUUGAUUAUCAUCUAGUCCCGAUCCUCUCACAGCUUGGAGUUUUGCUAGACUUGACAAGUGGUGAUCUGCUGCGAGCGGAUGAUUGUCUGAAAUUGGAUAAGUUCUAUUGUCUCUUGAGGCAGUUACCGGUUUGAAUGGAAAUUUGUUCACCAAUCCCAUAAAUUUCCAAUUAAUGCAAAACCCGAUUCUCAUUCCUUCAGAGGUCAGUGAUUGGUCGAUGUAUGACCUGUGAUGGUUCUUUCUUUGCAAGGUGUAUGCGCCACAACGGGUCAUUAUCCAAGCCAGAUUUGCUUGUCGGUGACUCCUUCCUAGAAAUAGUCCCUCCCUCAUGUCCUCAUCCUUCAGUCUCAUCGGGAGACAUUGUUAAGGGAAGUGUUUGGUUUAGCUCCUCCUCUGAUUCUUUAAAGGACCCACUUUCUGUACAAUUGUUUUAUGAUCUGCUUCUAGAUUCUGGUAUUUGGUGAAUUUGCAGUGGUUUGUUUCCCCCUCGUAGUGAACUAUUUUUCUGACGAUGGCAAGAACGAAUGAAUACCAUGACACCGGUCAGUCUGUUUCAUAAAACUAGAUGUUGGGCUUUUUGGAGGACUGAUGAUCCUUUUGCUGUCUCUUUUCGGUUGAGAUGAUGAACCAGUAGUCUUUUAGGCAAUAGGCCGAAAUUUGCUGGUCUUGAUUGGAACUUGUUCUUUGGUUUUUUUUAACUUUGGGGGUUGAUUAUUGUCUAUCCCGGAUCCUCUCACAGGUCGGAGUUUUGCUAGACUUGGCAAGUGGUGAUCUGCUGCGAGCUGAUGAUUGUCUGAAAUUGGAUAAGCUCUAUCGUCUCUCGAGGCAGUUAUCGGUUUGAAUGGAAAUUUUUUCUCCAAUCCCCUAAUUUUCCGAUUAAUGUAAAACCCAAUUUUCAUUCCUCCGGAGGUCAGCGUUUGGUUGAUGUAUGAUCUGUGAUGGUUCUUUCUUUGCAAGGUGUACGCGCCACAACAGAUCAUUAUCCAAUCCGGACUUGCUUGCUGGUGUCUCCUUCCUAGAAAUUGUCCCUCCCUCAUGUCCUCAUCCUUUAGGCUCAUCGUGCAUCUAUGAUUGUGCAUGCAUUCCUCACUGAGCCGACACCCUUUCUGAACUACUCUUUAGAGGAGACUUCAUUCCCGAAAACGCGUUCCUGACCUUUCUUUUUUUCUUUAUAUUUCUUGAUUGAUUUUAAAAUCAGUCUGAUUUUGUUAUUGCUAUGUUAUUUUCCGAAGGUUACACCUGGCCUUUCUGGGACUCUGGCAUUUGUGGGCAUUGUCAGGGUUUGUGCUCCUCUGAUCGUUGAUUGAUUCAUCAUCGAUUGAUCCUUACGAGUUCAAUUGUAUUAUGAGCUCAUUUUAGUAUUCACUAUUCCGCGGAAUUGGCAAUGGCUUCUUUCUUCUUGGAGCGAUCAUUUUCUCUGAGGAUGAUGUCCGAGUGGACAAUGAAUAUGAUACAACUGGUCAGUUGGUUACAUAGAAUGCCACAUUUGGGCUUUUGGAGGACUGAUGAUCAAUCUUACACUGUUUGUGGUUGAGCUGAUGAUCUAGAAGUACGACAAAUGAUCGAAAUUGAAAUUUUGACAACCUUCUAGGCUUCUUUACUGGUCCAAAGUAUUACUGGAUUUUGACAGCUGGUGAUCUAUUGCGUUUUCUGGGGGGCUCAGUUGAUAAUUGUUCGAAAUUGAAUGAGCCGUUCUUGCUUGGAUUUUAGGCAGUUAUUGGUUUGAAUGGAACUUGUCCUUUACUACUGUUAUUUACGAGUUAAGCCGAAAGAUCAGACUUCGCAGAUCAGAGUUCGGUCGAGGCAAUAUUAUAUUUGGCCAAGAUUUAUAUGGAGUGUCUGGGAUAAGUGAUGUUCUUUCUUGCUCAUACACAUCAAUCCCUAAUCUAUCUUCGACUUCUGUUAUCUUCUAGUUAAGGUGGAAGGAUCAGAUGUUAUCUUUCUUUCGCAGGUCAGAGUUUGGUCGAGCCAAUGGUUUACCUUGUCAAUUUUGAUAUGGAGUAUUUGCGAUUGGUAAUGGUUCAUUCUCAUUGCAUAUGCAUUAAUCCAUAGGACAAGUUCUACUUUCAGAGUUCUUUCUUAUCUGGAAAGGUCCGCACAUGUUCUAGCUUGUUUCUCUCCCCAUUCUUCUGUAGGACUCCUGAUUGCACUUUCAGCUGCAUACCAUACGACUUGAUGCUUCUGGCUCUCAUUUUCCAGAGUUAUUUUUUCUUAUUAACAAAAAUUUUACUGUGGGUGAAUAAAAAUGAAAUUUUGAAGUUCCCUUGCCAUUGAUCAACAGCUCUCUGCUACCUUUCACCAGCUUUAAGAUAAUGGUGAAUUUAAUUUGGUGAGAUGGUUGUUGAGACUGAGGUUUUAUCCAACUCUGAUCAUAAUCCACCGUCAGUAAGUUGGUCAAUGUGGAGACAAAUUGCUUUUUAUAUGGACAUGGUAUCUUUUUGGUUUUUAAUAGCGGUGGAAUUUGAUUUAGAUGGAGAAGAUGUGCUAAUUGCAGGAGUCUUUCGAUUAUUUCAUAGUUAUUCUAAGUAUAUUACUCACCUUGUGGUUGGAUAGCAUUUGGUGCACUCCCUUGCUGGUAAUUUCACUUGAAACGACUGGUUGGUCACAGAUGGAUGAGGUUCUUGCCUUCUCGGGGAAUUGCUUCAGUCAGAUAUGAGUUUUUGGUCUAACUCUUUUCCUUGUUAUUCAGUUGUUAUCGCCUUGAUUCCUUUAUAAUGUAUAUAAGUUUUUCACCUCAUGGAGUUCAUAAACCUGUCUUUACGUGCCACAACAGAACACUAUCCAGUAUCCAAUCCAGAUUCGCAUCUUAUAAGUUCAAAGGCUAGUGUCUCCUUCCUAGAAAUAGUCCCUCUCGUGUGUCCUCAUUCUUAAGUUUUAUCUUGCAUUGUGUUCCCCUCUCAGUCGACAGCCUCUGCGAAGUUCAGAUGAGACAUCGUUCCCAAAUGUGCUCUUGAUCCUCUGCUUUGCUUCUUGUUUCUUUGAUUGAUUGUUAAAUUGGUCUGAUUCUGUUUAUGCUAUCUUAUUUUCCGAAGGUUACACCUGGCCUCUCUGGGAGUUUUCCAUGUUGUGGGCGUUGUUAGGGUUUGCGCUCUUCUGAUCAUUGAUUGAUUCAUCAUUGAUUGAUCAUUCCAUUGUAUUAUGAGCUGAUUCUGGUAAAUACUAAUUCCGUGAAUUGUGCAGUGGCUUCUUUCUUCCUGGAGUGAUAAUUUUUUUUCUCUGAGGACUUUGUUUGAGGACAAUUAAUACAAUCCAACUGGUCAGUUGGUUACCUAGAAUAUGACAUUUGGGCUUUUUAGAGGACUAAUGAUCUUGCACUGUUUGGUUGAGCUGAUGAUCUUUAGAAGCCUUUUUUUCUUCAGGACAAACAGUGGACUGAAAUUUUGACAACCUUCUAGGCUUCUUUUACAGAUUGAAAGUUUUACUGGAUUUGACAGCUGGUGAUCUGUUGCUUUUUCUGUGGGCUGAGUUGAUAAUCGCUUGAAAUUGGAUGAGCUCCUGGUUUUCGGAUUUUGGGCAGUUAAUUGGUUUUGUUAGGAGUAAGAAGGGUAAAUUAGUCUUUACCACUUUUAGGGUUUAUUUUUUAUGUAUAUAUAUUAAAGUUUAUUGAAUAAUACAAAGUAACUUUUCUCUACAUGGUAUCAGAGCUUAGGGUUUAACCCUAGACGACGGAGCAGCCGCCCGCCGCCGUCGACUCGCCGGACCGCCGUCGACUCGCCGGACUGCCGUCGGCUCACCACCACCGUUCACCAGAAGAGGGCUUCUCCCUCGCGAAGCUCACUCGCGUUGCUCGCACAGCUCGCUUGCGCGGCUUGCUCACGGGGCUCGCUCACGCGGCUCGCCCGCGUGGCUUGCUCGCGGAGCUCGCUUGCGCGGCUCGCUUGCGGGGCUCUGUCGCGCGGCUCCCUCAGCUCGCGCUGCUCACGCUGCCUGCACGGCUUGCUCGAGCGACUUCCACGCGCUUGUGCUUGUGCGAUUUGCUGGCCUACCAGGGGUUUUGACCUACGAACUUCCUUUUUUUUUUUGCUGAUCUGGGUUGGUAAAAAGAGGGAAAACCUAGAGAGAGAAAGAAGACAAGUUGCAGUAGCGACAGAGUGCAAUACGAUGAUCUUGUGGGUUAGAAUUUGCUUUAAAGUUGCUGAUUUGGCUGAUUUGGCUGAUUAAUGAAGCAAGUUGCUGCUUGGGUA